rnacentral:lncRNA from 1 species
UGCACUUUGAUUGAAGAACAUUGUAUUUUUGGUGUUAAUGUACUACAAUGUUCCAUGUUUGAUCAGUAAAAUCUGAAUGUUUAUUAUUUACUGCGUCUACUUAUCUAUUGUCAUGCACCUAUUUGAUGAUAACAAAAAGGGGAAGAAGUGUAGCAGCUAACUAAUAGAGAUGCUGCCGGAAGAAGCAGCAAGAGGAUGAAAAGCAAGGAGCGAAAGAGGGCCGAAAAGGAUCCUUAAUUCAAAAUGAAGGCAC